AACGCUAGCUACAGGCUUAACACAUGCAAGUCGAGGGGCAGCAUGGUCUUAGCUUGCUAAGACUGAUGGCGACCGGCGCACGGGUGAGUAACACGUAUCCAACCUGCCAUCUACUCUUGGACAGCCUUCUGAAAGGAAGAUUAAUACAAGAUGGCAUCAUGAGUCCGCAUGUUCACAUGAUUAAAGGUAUUCCGGUAGACGAUGGGGAUGCGUUCCAUUAGAUAGUUGGCGGGGUAACGGCCCACCAAGUCUUCGAUGGAUAGGGGUUCUGAGAGGAAGGUCCCCCACACUGGAACUGAGACACGGUCCAGACUCCUACGGGAGGCAGCAGUGAGGAAUAUUGGUCAAUGGACGCAAGUCUGAACCAACCAAGUAGCGUGAAGGAUGACUGCCCUAUGGGUUGUAAACUUCUUUUAUACGGGAAUAAAAGACAUUACGUGUAGUGUUUUGCAUGUACCGUUAUGAAUAAGCAUCGGCUAAUUCCGUGCCAGCAGCCGCGGUAAUACGGAAGAUGCGAGCGUUAUCCGGAUUUAUUGGGUUUAAAGGGAGCGUAGGCGGGUUUUUAAGUCAGCUGUGAAAGUUUGAGGCUCAACCUUAAAAUUGCAGUUGAUACUGGAGACCUUGAGUGCGGUAAAGGUAGGCGGAAUUCGUGGUGUAGCGGUGAAAUGCUUAGAUAUCACGAAGAACUCCGAUUG
rnacentral:rRNA from 1 species